CCUACGUGAUGCAGCAGUGAGGAAUAUUGGUCAAUGGGCGCGAGCCUGAACCAGCCAAGUCGCGUGAGGGAAGACGGUCCUAUGGAUUGUAAACCUCUUUUGUCGGGGAGCAAAAGACGCCACGCGUGGCGUUCCGAGAGUACCCGAAGAAAAAGCAUCGGCUAACUCCGUGCCAGCAGCCGCGGUAAUACGGAGGAUGCGAGCGUUAUCCGGAUUUAUUGGGUUUAAAGGGUGCGCAGGCGGAAGAUCAAGUCAGCGGUAAAAUUGAGAGGCUCAACCUCUUCGAGCCGUUGAAACUGGUUUUCUUGAGUGAGUGGGAAGUAUGCGGAAGGCGUGGUGUAGCGGUGAAAUGCAUAGAUAUCACGCAGAACUCCGAUUGCGAAGGCAGCAUACCGGCGCUCAACUGACGCUCAUGCACGAAAGUGUGGGUAUCGAACAGGAUUAGAUACCCUAGUAGUC
rnacentral:rRNA from 1 species